rnacentral:rRNA from 1 species
GGCGCCUAAUACUGCAAGUCGAACGGAGUAGCAAUACUUAGUGGCAGACGGGUGAGUAACAUGUGGGUAUCUUCCCUUUGGUGAGGAAUAACACGAGGAAACUUGUGCUAAUACCUCAUAAGUCUUUACGGAGAAAGCUUUAUGCGCCAUUGGAUGAGCCCGCACUUGAUUAGUUUGUUGGUGGGGUGAAAGCCUACCAAGACUAUGAUCAAUAGCUGAUUUGAGAGGAUGAUCAGCCACAUUGGGACUGAGACACGGCCCAAACUCCCACGGGAGGCAGCAGUAGGGAAUCUUGCACAAUGGAGGAAACUCUGAUGCAGCGAUGCCGCGUGAGUGAAGAAGGCCUUUGGGUUGUAAUGCUCUUUCGUCGGGGAAGAAAAUGACUGUACCCGAAUAAGAAGGUCCGGCUAACUUCGUGCCAGCAGCCGCGGUAAUACGAAGGGACCUAGCGUAGUUCGGAAUUACUGGGCUUAAAGAGUUCGUAGGUGGUUAAAAAAGUUGGUGGUGAAAGCCCAGAGUUUAACUCUGGAACUGCCAUCAAAACUUUUUAGCUAGAGUAUGAUAGAGGAAAGCAGAAUUUCUAGUGUAGAGGUGAAAUUCGUAGAUAUUAGAAAGAAUACCAAUUGCGAAGGCAGCUUUCUGGAUCAUUACUGACACUGAGGAACGAAAGCAUGGGUAGCGAAGAGGAUUAGAUACCCUCGUAGUCCAUGCCGUAAACGAUGUGUGUUAGGUGUUGGAAAUUUAUUUUCAGUAUCGCAGCGAAAGCGAUAAACACACCGCCUGGGGAGUACGACCGCAAGGUUAAAAC